rnacentral:rRNA from 1 species
UACGUAGGUGGCGAGCGUUGUCCGGAUUUACUGGGCGUAAAGCGAGCGCAGGCGGUUCCUUAAGUCUGAUGUGAAAGCCCACGGCUCAACCGUGGAAGGUCAUUGGAAACUGGGGAACUUGAGUGCAGAAGAGGAGAGUGGAAUUCCAUGUGUAGCGGUGAAAUGCGUAGAUAUAUGGAGGAACACCAGUGGCGAAGGCGACUCUCUGGUCUGUAACUGACGCUGAGGCUCGAAAGCGUGGGGAGCAAACAGGAUUAGA